rnacentral:misc_RNA from 1 species
CGCACAUUGCGCCCGCUAGUAUUCUGGCGGGCAUGCCUGUUCGAGCGUCAUUUCGACCCUCAAGCCCUCCGGCUUGGUGUUGGGGUGCUUCUACGGCCAAACGCCGUAGGCCCCGAAAUACAGUGGCGGACCCGACGGGAUCCCGAGCGCAGUAGUAACUUCUCGCUAAGGGCAUCACGACGGGCGACUAGCCGUAAAACCUAUAGGUGCCUUGUGCCCCUAUAACUUUUUAAGGUUGACCUCGGAUCAGGUAGGAAUACCCGCUGAACUUAA